GACACCACAAGUAUCUGUGGAGAAACUCCCACAAGCUGGAGCAGCCACUGAUGUUCAGUAACUUACAGCCUGAAGUGUAGUGGGGGCUAGUAAGGAAGAGAUUUUGAAAACAGGGCAUGCACAUAAAAGUCAGCCAGAAGAAGUUAUAUAGUCCCUGACAUAGAUUUUUAUCAUCAAAUAUUGCCAUGUACCACAGCAAUCAGUUCCUACUUGUGUGUCUUGAUGUUUCUGAAUUUACCUGGACUGGAAUAAUAAAAUCAGAUUUCUAAAUGCA